UACGAAGGGGACUAGCGUUGUUCGGAAUUACUGGGCGUAAAGCGCGUGUAGGUGGCCACGCAAGUCAGGUGUGAAAGCCCUGGGCUCAACCCAGGAAGUGCACAUGAUACUACGUGGCUGGAGUACUGAAGAGGAGAGCGGAAUUCCCGGUGUAGAGGUGAAAUUCGUAGAUAUCGGGAGGAACACCAGUGGCGAAGGCGGCUCUCUGGGCAGAUACUGACACUGAGACGCGAAAGCGUGGGUAGCAAACAGG
rnacentral:rRNA from 1 species